UACACCAGGCAAGAUCAACAGAGCACAGAAAAGUAUUUGAAUCCAAAACAAAAGCAUAUUUGACCCAGGUCUGCUGCUGAGUCACGGAGCUCUCUGGCCAAUAAGAAGUCCAUCCAGGCUCCCUCGGGUGAACGGUACCUCGGAGACGGAAGAAGUGACUCGCAGGACCGCGGUCAGCAGUGAGUGAAAUAAAUGCCGUGUCAUCGGAGGGAAUCUCUGUAAUCUCUCGCUGUUCUUCCCCCAGGACACAUCUGCCAUGCCCAGGACACGACCGGCGAUGGGGGCUCCGGCGGUACAUCUGUUUUCCGGGACGCUGACGCAUAAUCGGGGUUUUGCGCCGCUGAUUUUUCCGGGGGACCGGGGGGACUCGGGUGCCAUCCCGCCGGCGUCUGGCCCGGGAAGAUGAAACGAUUCGCCAUGGAGGGAGGCUGCGGCGGCUAGUGCAGUGUCGGGGAGCCAGCGACCCAGGCAGGGGCAGGUCUGCUGUUACCGGUCAUCUGGCUGAACCAGUAUGAGCUUCAUCUACACCAGCCCUCUACUGGUGCUCACAUUUAUGCCAGAAUUUCUUCAUGUGUCUGUCACUCAAUAGCUAGUGUGGAAAUUCAGACAGUGCUAUGAGCAUAUCAGAUAGUCUGCAGAAAUCUGUACUGUUACAUCCUGUUCAUUUAGAACAACAUUAAAAUGGAUAAAAUCAUUUUCAUUGAGGGCUUAAUCCUGAUUAAAGUUACAGGAUACGCUCCACAGAAGUUCUGAGGGAAGGGUUCUGUCCUGUCAUCUAUGCUAGCCUCAAUGGGAAUACUAACCCAUCGCUCAUUCCAGGAGCCCACAACGCUGUUUUCUAAAUGAAAAGACAUACCACUGGGUUCACCCAAGAAGGAAAUGGCUCACAGACAUAGCUGCCCUCAAAAUGAUGCAACCGCAGUCAAUAACAUACUCAUAAUCGGUCAAUAAAGGAAGAGCGUCAUGACAAAACUGCAGAAGGUUUGGCACACUGUUCACCGAAACAUUCUUUCCACAUCAUGGAAACAUGGUUUGGAAACAAUAAUUUGGGAGCUAGAAACAGAAAACAACAACCAAAAAAAGACAGCUAAUCUCUACUGCUUUUAGAUUAUAACAUAUAGAUUAUAAUAUAUAUAUAAAUAUGCAUUUGUUGACUGUAUUCCUGAAGUUACACAUGAAAUCUUUUUGUGCUCUGAAAAUUAUGUGACUGAAUUGAAAAAUAACUGCACUGGACUUUAAAAGGAUAACAUAACCAAAAUUAUAUAACUUAUCUAAGUUUUUGAAGAAUUUUCCUUCUCCUUUCAUUAGCAUCUGAACAUUUAUUUUAGAAUUUUGAUGAGAAAAGUUAUGAUUUAUUGGUGAGUCUGAUGACUAAAGCUGUAAAUAAGUCAUAAAACAAGUGUUGAACAUAUUGCUUGUAAAUAAUAUUAUUCUUUGAGACCAUAAAUGUACUAGUGUUGUUU